AUUGAACGCUGGCGGCAUGCCUUACACAUGCAAGUCGAACGGUAACAGGUCUUCGGAUGCUGACGAGUGGCGAACGGGUGAGUAAUACAUCGGAACGUGCCUAGUAGUGGGGGAUAACUACUCGAAAGAGUGGCUAAUACCGCACGAGAUCUACGGAUGAAAGCAGGGGCUCGCAAGACCUUGUGCUACUAGAGCGGCAGAUGGCAGAUUAGGUAGUUGGUGGGAUAAAAGCUUACCAAGCCGACGAUCUGUAGCUGGUCUGAGAGGACGAUCAGCCACACUGGGACUGAGACACGGCCCAGACUCCUACGGGAGGCAGCAGUGGGGAAUUUUGGACAAUGGGCGAAAGCCUGAUCCAGCAAUGCCGCGUGCAGGAUGAAGGCCUUCGGGUUGUAAACUGCUUUUGUACGGAACGAAAAGCCCCGGGUUAAUACCCUGGGGUCAUGACGGUACCGUAAGAAUAAGCACCGGCUAACCACGUGCCAGCCGCCGCGGUAA
rnacentral:rRNA from 1 species